rnacentral:rRNA from 1 species
UACGUAGGGUGCGAGCGUUGUCCGGAAUUACUGGGCGUAAAGGGCUCGUAGGCGGCCAACUAAGUCAGACGUGAAAUCCCUCGGCUUAACCGGGGAACUGCAUCUGAUACUGGAUGGCUUGAGACCGGGGAGAGGUGAGUGGAAUUCCCAGUGUAGCGGUGAAAUGCGCAGAUAUCAGGAGGAACACCGGUGGCGAAGGCGGUUCUCUGGGCAUUACCUGACGCUGAGGAGCGAAAGUGUGGGGAGCGAACAGG